UAGUAGGGCUCCAGGACGUCUGGAGGGCCAGACUGGGGUGGCUUUUUGGCUUCUGCUUGGAGCUGCCGGUUCCCCUCCAUCAGGAACGCCAGCCCCUGGAGAGGCUGCCAUGAGUCAUUCCAAAAGGAGAUACCAUAACUGCUAAUUGCAUAAACUAAUGGCUUUCCAGCGGGAACAUGUGCAAAGAAUACAUGUGAAAGAACUUUGAACCAUGACGACCAUUCAGCAGUUUGGAGAGGCUGGCACAUUCAAUGGAGGACCAGAGGGGGCUGGCAGGAAAUAAACCUAGGAAGUGAGUUUGAGUUUUAUGCAAUUUCUUGUAUAAGAGGAGAGCCUGAGUCCAUGGAAGCUGGGAUUGAACAUCCUGAAUAUGCAGUUCCUUGGAGAGCCACCAAGAAAAGACCUAAGCAGGAGACAUGAUGUCAUCUUCGGGGAGGAGGCUCUUCAGCUGUCUGGCAUGGGAGGAGGAGGAAUGAGGAGGAUCACUGGCCUUGAACCCCCAAGGAGAGGCCAGAGCACCUUUCUGGGACCCAGCCCAGGGUUUGUAUUAAACAUCCAGCUCCAAAAGAGAUGCUGUACAGAUUCAAGCUGCCAAGUCCUGAAGGCCCUGAGGGAGAACCCAAUCCCAAGCAGCCCGGGUGGUAUCUGGGUAUCCUGUGCCCUGCCCAUGGAGAUCAGGAGCCUAAAGUCUAGAGCUCACUGCAGAACCAGACCAAAGACAGUCUAAGGUCCGCUGAGCCGAGCCUUCCUGACCUCCUGUGGAAAGGGGAAGAGAGAACAGGGCCUCCACUCAUCCACCUACCAGUUCCUGGGUCCCUUUAGCCCUUGGCAUGGUAAUUAACGGUCAGGAAGUUAUGCAUCAGCCUCAGCAAGCUAACGUGGCAGGAGAUCCCUCCUGACAGCAGAGCUAAUAAGAAAUUUGCUAAUGCAAUUUAUCACUUUAAAAAGCCAUAUGUCGGUGGGGAUGAGCACUUCUCUGCAGCAGCUAGUGUAAUUGUCAGAGCAAAGCAGCGAGCAGCUCUCGGAAGGGGGUGAGGAUGAUGUCUUCACUAAAUCAGUGGUGCAAUGCAGCAAGCGAGGGCGCUGGGAGGAGGGGUGUGGUGCUGGGUGGAGGGCUCCCAGCUCUCAAGCUCCCAGGAAGCCAGGUCUGCAGACCUCUUCGGGGGCCCCAUUAAAAACCAGAUGAGCCCUGAACUCCAGCCCCUGCUGCCUUUGAGCUGCAUGAACCUGCGCUUUGGUUCCUGCCACAGUGUUAAAACAAGAAGCGACUCUGUCUGCAGUAAUGGCUGAUGUAAGUCUCAGCCAUUGAGUGUCAACACACAGGACCCGAUUCCAGCUGGGGGCAGGGCUGAUGUCAUGUGCACAUUUGCUCUUUCUCUCCCAGACCCCUGUGAUAACUUCAUCCAGGACAAGAGCCACGGGUCCUUAGUCAGAGGCAGGGAAAGAUUAGAAAUCCACCUCAGGCCCAACAACAUCUCUGCUUCCAGUUUAGACAAAUUGCCUUGAGUACCCAGUGUUUGCCAAAAUAAAGAGUGGUUUCUGCAAAGGGGAAAAACUGCUGUUGUUGGAUUUUGCUUCAAACACUCAAUUGCAAACCAUUUUUCCCAAAGCAAAUUGAUAGAUAAGCAAGUAAGACAGGUGCCCCUUCUGGGAAUGCAGUCCAGGGCUGCUGGGAAGGCUGUGGGAAGGAGUAAGAAUAUCCAUAUGGCUGGAUCUCCACU